rnacentral:rRNA from 1 species
UACGGUAGGGUCAGCGUUAUCCGGAAUCACUGGGCGUAAAGGGCGCGUAGGCGGCCUGAUAAGUAGGGGGUGAAAUCCUGCGGCUUAACCGCAGGGCUGCCUUCUAAACUGUCAGGCUCGGGCGACAGUAGAGGCAGGUGGAAUUCCCGGUGUAGCGGUGGAAUGCGUAGAGAUCGGGAAGAACAUCAGUGGCGAAGGCGGCCUGCUGGGCU